UGGGGAAUCUUGCACAAUGGGCGCAAGCCUGAUGCAGCAACGCCGCGUGCGGGAAGACGGCCUUCGGGUUGUAAACCGCUUUCGGCAGGGAAGAAAAUGACGGUACCUGCAGUAAGAAGGUGCGGCCAACUACGUGCCAGCAGCCGCGGUGACACGUAGGCACCGAGCGUUAUCCGGAUUUAUUGGGCGUAAAGAGCUCGUAGGCGGUUCGGUAAGUCGGGUGUGACAACUCGAGGCUCAACCUCGAGAGGCCACUCGAUACUGCCGUGACUUGAGUGCGGUAGGGGAGCGGAGAAUUCCUGGUGUAGCGGUGAAAUGCGCAGAUAUCAGGAGGAAUACCAGUGGCGAAGGCGCCGCUCUGGGCCGUAACUGACGCUGAGGAGCGAAAGCGUGGGUAGCAAACAGGAUUAGAUACCCGUGUAGUCC
rnacentral:rRNA from 1 species